AUUGAACGCUGGCGGCAGGCCUAACCCAUGCAAGUCGAACGAGUGGCGGACGGGUGAGUCAUGUAUGGGAAACUGCCUGAUGGAGGGGUAUAACUACUGGAAACGGUAGCUCAUACCGCAUACCAUCGGAUGUGCCCAUAUGGGAUUAGAUAGUAGGUGGGGUCAAGGCUCACCGAGGCGACGAUCCCUAGCUGGUCUGAGAGGAUGACCAGCCACACUGGAACUGAGACACGGUCCAGCCUCCUACGGGAGGCAGCAGUGGGGAAUAUUGCACAAUGGGCGCAAGCCUGAUGCAGCCAUGCCGCGUGUGUGAAGAAGGCCUUCGGGUUGUAAAGCACUUUCAGCGAGGAGGCGUUACUCGAAGAAGAAGCACCGGCUAACUCCGUGCCAGCAGCCGCGGUAAUUC
rnacentral:rRNA from 1 species